GAUGAAGAACGUAGCGAAAUGCGAUAAGUAAUGUGAAUUGCAGAAUUCAGUGAAUCAUCGAAUCUUUGAACGCACAUUGCGCCCGCCAGUAUUCUGGCGGGCAUGCCUGUUCGAGCGUCAUUUCAACCAUCAAGCCCCCGGCUUGUGUUGGGGACCUGCGGCUGCCGCAGGCCCUGAAAAGCAGUGGCGGGCUCGCUGUCACACCGAGCGUAGUAGAUUUCAUCUCGCUCAGGGCGUGCUGCGGGUUCCGGCCGUUAAACCACCUUCAUAACCCAAGGUUGACCUCGGAUCAGGUAGGAAGACCCGCUGAACUUAAGAAUAUCAAUAAACGGAGGA
rnacentral:misc_RNA from 1 species